UUAACCCCGAAUCGUCUUGGUUCGCCCGGCGACGGGCGAUGAAAAGGGAACGCGGUGCCGCCUCGAAUGGGGCUCAUGCCGCGGCUGCCCCCGCAACUGUAAGCGGCGAGCGCGGCUGAUCGUGCCACUGGGGAUGUUCCCCGGGAAGGCCAGCCAAGCGACGACCCGCAAGCCAGGAGACCUGCCAGGACGAUCACCCAGCC
rnacentral:ncRNA from 1 species